UAAAAAGCCAACCAAUCUACCAACCUUUCAUUUAGUCUACGUUCUGAAAUUUUACGUCAACAAUUGAUGGAUGCUCAAUAUUUUAACUGCCCCGUUUUGGAGUGAACGAGCAAUCAACGGAACGAGCAAUUUCCGGGCUUAGUUAAUCCAUAUAACGAGUAAAUGAAUUUUGAUUAAGUAUUGUAUUUGACCAUAGCCUGUGGAUUAUGUUUACAAUGUAGGUGUGAAGAUGAAGAAAGAAUGGUAUCAAGUACUGUGAUGUAAAAGAGAAUAAGCAAUGCUAGGAAGAGGAAACCAGAAAUUAGGUUGACAGUAUAAGGAGUCGUGAAACAGUGCGCAUAUCUUGGAAUGCUUAUACCGGUGGUAUCGAGCACCUGGGGCUGGGGAUUCUACGCUCUCUUCUUAUUCGUUCUCGUCACCCCCAGUCCUGCUGCUAUUCGCAAAGCGGAUCGAGAUCAUUGCAACAAAACAGUAGGGGUAAAUGAAGAUGUAUCGAGUCCGGCUGUGACAUCAGUAAACUGGGGAAAACCAUUGUCUUGCUCGUAUCGUUUCCGUUCAUUUCGUGGUACUCCACAAGAUUGGAUCCUACGAGUGCGUUUCAAAAAAUUUAAAGUUGGUGUAUUAGAAAAUGCAACUACAUGUUCCGGAGGUUAUUUACAGAUCGUAGAUGGAAAUGUGAAAACAAAUAUCACCAAUCGGGAAGAUCCUGGAGUUUACUGCGGUGAAUUGGAACAACCGCAAACAUUUAUUUCCGAAACGAGUUUCGUUCGUGUGAUAUUCCAUGCAGACAACUUCACCGAUCAAACAUAUUUUAGUUUCGACUCUCGCGCGGAACAACAAUUUGACGUAUACUUAAGGUUCGGCCAACAUCCAGAACUUUAUCCGAACCGAAGGGGCACAAUCGUAUCCGGCAGCUAUUGCGAACGAGUUUUCGAAAAUUGUAGACUACAAACGUGUUAUGUACAGAGCCCAGCUUAUCCGGGUAUUUACCCGCGUGCAUUACAUUGUAAGUAUCGACUUAAUACACGGGCGCCUUAUAUAAAAUUGUACAUUGAGAACAAAGAGUUCAAUAUCGACGGGCAAAGAUGCGAAAACAUAAUGACUUGUCCCAUGAGACCAAUAAGUUCUGGCUCAGAGCAUUGUCCGUAUGACUACAUACGCGUUUACGAUGGCAAAGAUGGGAAUAGUACAGCAAUCGGUACCUUUUGCGGUAUGGGGAAAUUUCCGUAUAGCAUAAUCGGUACCAGCGAGGACCUUUACAUAGAAUUUAUCUCAUCACCAGCUGGACCCCUUUUAAAUACCGGCUUUCAUUUUAAUGUUGGUAAUUUGCCGGGCCAUGUAAAGACCGAGGGCGUUCAAAAUGGUAGUUGUGAUUGGUUGUUAAACAGCGAGUCUUUACACAGCGGUAACGAAGGAAUAUUUCUUUCGGUUGCACACUGGUAUCCGCCGCAUACUAGUUGUACGUAUCUUCUCAAAGGUCGACCGGGAGAAAUUGCAAGACUUUAUUUUCCUAGUUUUCGAGUUAAUCGCAUCCAAUCGCCUAUACAACCAUACGAUGGUGAUUGCGGUGAAAGUUUGACUCUCUACGAUGCCGACUGGCCAGAUGAUGCUAAAAUUAUUAAAACUUUUUGCGACACGUUUAGCAAACCGAUGGAGAAACAUGAUUUUGUUUCGAGCUCAAACGCUUUAUUCGUCAAGUUUGAGAGCAAAACGGGAAGUUAUUCUGGUAGCUCGUUAUAUUAUUGGGCGCAUUAUGACUUUUUUAAUGUGACGAGAUUUGGCACCCCUGUUCCUGGAACCGAAUGUGACGAAACAUUUGCAUCUUGGAAAGAACGUUCUGGUCGAUUUCGAUCACCAUUAAAUACCCUCGUUUACAAGCGACCAGGUGAUCCACCGACAGAUCUUUCUUGCACUUAUACCUUUAUCACAGACAAGCGGUUAUAUGCACGAGUAAUUCUUAUUGUGGACUCAAUUUCAUUCAAAGAGCAUCCGUAUGCACAGUGCGGUCAAUGUUGGGAUAGUCGAGUCGAUCGAUUAAUUAUCAGAGAACCUCCUUUCAUACAUGUUAACGAUCAAUAUUCACAACAACAACAACAACAGCAGCAGCAGCAGCAGCAGCAGUAUCAUCAUCAUCAUCAGCAGCAGCAGCAGCAGCAGAAACAACAGCAGCAGCAGCAACAGCAACAACAGCGUCAACAACAAAAUAACAGUGUCGAUAGAGGUCAUUGUAUCUGUCGAUCGACAACGAUUAAUGAACCAAACGGUGAAGGUCAACCGGUACUUCGCGUAGUUUCACGAGGUGAGAAACUUGAGUUAAAACUUUUAAUAGAUGGUGCGCAUGCCGCAGCGAGCUACUUCAAACAAUCCUCACCGUUGUUCGAGGCAAGAUAUGAAUUUGCUCACAGUCCAUUAUGCGGACCAGCAAUUUUGCCAGCUACGACCGAUGGUGAAAUUGAAUUCCCUCAUUAUGAAGCACUCGGAUACGUUGCACCACCUCGAUCAAUCAAAUGUAUCUGGGAAUUACGUGUAAAUCGAGAUAGAGAUGUUUGGCUGCAUUUCGACAAAAUUAAGUUUGCCUCAAGAUCCUGUGAGGAUGGAAAAUUGGAAAUCUUUCUGCCUGGAACUGCAGAGCCAUUUCUUGGUAUAUGCGGUGAAAAUGUUAGUUAUGUUAGAGAAAUGCCAAUUAUAUCGGCAGCUCAGAUCGCUCCAUAUAUUCGUACACCUGGGAACCACGAUUCUGCACACUUCAAUAUGGAUUUUGACCAAGUUCAAACAUAUUUACAACAGUCAGCAUCACCGCCAAUGUCACACUCAUCGCUACCAACGGAGCAAUACCAAGAAGAAUUUGAUUGGCCGACCGUGAUCAUUCAAUUUACUGGAUCUAUGGCCCCAGCGAGAGCGGCAUUUAAAAUCGCCUGGACGGAAUUGUAUCAUCUGCCACGUGAUGCUUCAGGGUCUUUGAAUACACAAAAACUGGAAGAAUUUUGUGGAUUUCAAUGUCCGGGAAAUGCUGGUUGUAUCCCUAUGAGACUUGUUUGCAACGGUGUUAUUAAUUGCCCUGUACCAGAACUUCGAUCGAUGUUCAAAAAUACGCAUAAUAGUACCGGUUUGUUGACAAUCGUAGAGGAACCGAAUGAUGAAUCCAUUGAAGCUUGUGGAGCCGAUGUUGUCAGUAAACAUGGUAAUAUUGUCGGAUCUGGAAAUGGUGUUGGUGGUUUAGCAAGCGUUGUUGGUUCUGCCGGAUGGGCAGGAGCUGGUUUAGGCGCAGCCCUUGCUAUUCUUCUCGGACUUAUUUGCUUGAUUACUGUAUGCAAAAUUUGCAGGCAGCGAGCAACCUCUAGGGAUAUUCACGUAUCCUAUUGACAUAGACAUAGACACGGUCAUGGACACAAAUUCAAUUACAAAUGUGAACAUAAAUACCGAUACAAGUACAGGCACGUAAUCAUGGAAAACCUUUUCUGUUCUUUUCUUCUGUUUCCCAUGCUAGAUUAGCGGAUCUUUGUACAUUAUCUUGAUGCGAACACUAUCAGUGGAUGACGUUCGUAUUUGUGCCAGCGACCUGAUCGUAAAUCUUUGAAAGAAAUUUUAUCGCUCCACCCGUUUUAUCCACAUCGAUGGACAAGAAACAAGAAACAAUGGCAAAUUAGGUGGAUGACUGAUUAAGUAGGUAGAUAAAAUAGGUAUUUGUUGUUCCUUUCCAUUUCACUUAAUUUGAAAAUAUGACAAAUCAAAAAGUAAGCUACAUAAAUAAAGUAGAGGCAAGAAAAUAAAAUUUAAUAUCCUAUUUUUGAUUAACAAACAUAAUGGAAUGGAAAUGUGCCCCAGAAAACAAUUAUGUACCAAAAACGUCGCUUG
rnacentral:misc_RNA from 1 species